GCUUGUAAUAUACAGAGUGUGCCGGUUCCUUUCGACACAUAUUCAUCCAUCGCUCGUACGACGACGAUUAUCCAUUUGAGAUUCUGCACGGCAACGCGGAUGACGCGAACGCUCUUGACUAUCGGCGGCUGAUUGUUGGUUGCAGGCUAUUACCAUAACCAAAAAGACGUUGAAGUGUGACGGUUAUACGUUGAAUGCACGGAUGUAGGUGUGUGUUUUGCGUCCUCCGCGCCAGCUGUGCCGACGAUGACGAAAAAGAAAAAAGGAAAAGGAAAAGAAAAAAGAAGAACGAAUCCGGCUGGCAGUUUGUCGACAAUCUUUGACUGACCUGUCAGCGGGCCGAGGAUAAAAUCGCCGCGUCCUAGCCUCGGAGCAGAGAUGAUUAAUUAGCCGUUCUGUGAUGACGUAUUCGGGUGAGAUAAACGAUCAUCGGUUAGGGCGAGAUGACUUCCCCAAUUAAGAAGCUCUCCGUCAUUUGUGGGAGAGGAUCGGUUUAUCGUGAAAAAGCCCUAGUUUGAAUUUUUCCAGCUACUUUAACAAAUGAAAUUUUUACGGAUACCUGUUUGAUGCAGUGUUAAGAGCCACAGACUGAAGAAUUUUCACAUUAGUCGUGUGUUUUUUGACAGAGAAAUUUCAAUCGGUUUUAUACUCACGAGACGAGGUCUGAUGAUCGAGUCGUUCGAUUUAAUACGAAAAUAAAAUCUCCAAAAAUUCAAUGCUCAAGAAGAACAAAAAAUCUGUAAAUUUUUAUAAGUUCAAUCACGCGAAGGUUUCGACGAACUAUUUUUGACCCUACAAUUUUGCUUCUAUAGUCGAACGGGUAAAUUAUACGAACAUUACAUACGUAGUAAUUGCAUUAUCGACGAAAAUUC
rnacentral:lncRNA from 1 species